rnacentral:rRNA from 1 species
UGCGCAGGCGGCCUAGUAAGUCAGAGGUGAAAUAUGUCGGCUCAACCGGCAAACUGCCCCUGAAACUGCAAGGCUUGAGUCCGGGAGAGGAAGGUGGAAUUCCAGGUGUAGCGGUGAAAUGCGUAAAUAUCUGGAGGAACACCGGUGGCGAAGGCGGCCUUCUGGCCCGGUACUGACGCUCAUGCACGAAAGCCAGGGGAGCAAACAGGAUUAGAUACCCUGGUAGUCC